CCGUCGGUCGACGUACGUCACGAGAGUUAGUAGUACUAUGGCUCAGGACGAACGCUGGCGGCGUGCCUAACACAUGCAAGUCGAACGGAGAUAUGAUUCGGUUAUAUCUUAGUGGCGAACGGGUGAGUAACGCGUGAGCAACCUGACUCUUAGAGGGGGAUAACACCCGAAACGGGUGCUAAUACCGCAUAAGACCACGACGUGGCAUCGCGACGAGGUCAAAGGAGCAAUCCGCUGAGAGAGGGGCUCGCGUCCCAUUAGAUAGAUGGCGGGGUAAAGGCCCACCAUGUCAACGAUGGGUAGCCGAGCUGAGAGGCUGAUCGGCCACACUGGAACUGAGACACGGUCCAGACUCCUACGGGAGGCAGCAGGUGGGGAAUAUUGGGCAAUGGGCGCAAGGCCCUGACCCAGCAACGCCGCGUGAGGGAAGAAGGCUUUCGGGUUGUAAACCUCUGUCCUUGGUGACGAAACAAAUGACGGUAGCCAAGGAGGAAGCCCCGGCUAACUACGUGCCAGCAGCCGC
rnacentral:rRNA from 1 species